GACGAACGCUGGCGGUGUGCUUAACACAUGCAAGUCGAACGGUAAGGCCCUUUCGGGGGUACACGAGUGGCGAACGGGUGAGUAACACGUGAGUAACCUGCCCUCAUCUCUGGGAUAACAGUCGGAAACGGUUGCUAAUACUGGAUAUGAGCUUGCAAGGCAUCUUGUGGGUUGGAAAGAUUUUUUUUGGUUGGGGAUGGACUCGCGGCCUAUCAGCUUGUUGGUGAGGUAGUGGCUCACCAAGGCUUCGACGGGUAGCCGGCCUGAGAGGGCGACCGGCCACAUUGGGGCUGAGAUACGGCCCAAACUCCUACGGGAGGCAGCAGUGGGGAAUAUUGCACAAUGGACGGAAGUCUGAUGCAGCAACGCCGCGUGCGGGAUGACGGCCUUCGGGUUGUAAACCGCUUUCAAUUGUGACGAAGCUUUUUUGUGACGGUAGCAGUAGAAGAAGCACCGGCUAACUACGUG
rnacentral:rRNA from 1 species